rnacentral:rRNA from 1 species
AUUUUAAUUUUUUAUUAGAAUUUUUAUUAUAAUGAUUUUGUUAAAGUAAAAAUGAUAUAAUUAGUAUUAAUUUGGUAAAUAAUUAUGUAGGAAUUCGGCAAUUAUAAAUUUUGUCUGUUUAAUAAAAACAUAUCUUUUUGUUAUUUAUUUAAAGUAUUACCUGCCCAAUGAUUUUUAUUAAAUGGCUGCGGUAUUUUAACUGUACGAAGGUAGCAUAAUCAUUUGUUUAAUAAUUUUAGACUUGAAUGAAGGGUUUUAUUAGAUUUAAUCUUUCUUUAUAUUAAUAUUAAGAAUUUAUUAUAUUAGUUAAAAAACUAAUAUUUUUUUAUAGGACGAGAAGACCCUAUAGAACUUAAUAUAUUAAUUAGUAAUAUAUUGUAUUGGGAAGAUAGAAAUCUUUUAUUUAACGAUUUUUUUAUUUUUCAUUAAUUUAUGAUUUAUUGAUCCAAUUUUUUUGAUUAUAAGAGUAAGUUACCUUAGGGAUAACAGCGUAAUUUAAUUGGAAAGCUCUUAUUGAAAAUUAAGUUUGCGACCUCGAUGUUGAAUUAAGAGUAAAAUUGGGGGUAGAUUUUUAUAUUUUUUGGUCUGUUCGACCAAUAAUUUCUUACAUGAUUUGAGUUUAGAUCGGUGUGAGCCAGAUCGGUUUCUAUCCUUAAUUUAUAUAUUGUUUUUUAGUACGAGAGGACCAAAAAUUUAAUUAAUAUGUU